rnacentral:rRNA from 1 species
GACGUAGGGCGCAAGCGUUGUCCGGAUUUAUUGGGCGUAAAGAGCUCGUAGGCGGCUUGUUGCGUCGUCCGUGAAAACCCGCAGCUCAACUGCGGGCUUGCGGACGAUACGGGCAGGCUGGAGUUCGGUAGGGGAGACUGGAAUUCCUGGUGUAGCGGUGAAAUGCGCAGAUAUCAGGAGGAACACCGGUGGCGAAGGCGGGUCUCUGGGCCGAUACUGACGCUGAGGAGCGAAAGCGUGGGAGCGAACAGG